AAAUGAACUGUUUGGUCUCGAAGGUUUCUUGGGAAAAGGGAGUGCGGCAAGUAGUAUUCCUCUGGAUGAAGGCAGAAAUAUACUUGCUGUUAACUACGGGUGCUAAUCGAGCAAUAGGGUCCCAGCCUGCUGUGAGGAUAUCUCUGGCUGCCCAGUGGCGCGGGCCGGGGUUUUGAACUACCUACUGAAGGACAUACUUCACCAGUGGAAACAUCAACCAGACCCACAGAAAACCUCCAG